AACGCUGGCGGCGUGCCUAACACAUGCAAGUCGAACGGAGAAUUUUAUUUCGGUAGAAUUCUUAGUGGCGAACGGGUGAGUAACGCGUAGGCAACCUGCCCUUUAGACGGGGACAACAUUCCGAAAGGAGUGCUAAUACCGGAUGUGAUCAUCGUGCCGCAUGGCAGGAUGAAGAAAGAUGGCCUCUACAAGUAAGCUAUCGCUAAAGGAUGGGCCUGCGUCUGAUUAGCUAGUUGGUAGUGUAACGGACUACCAAGGCGAUGAUCAGUAGCCGGUCUGAGAGGAUGAACGGCCACAUUGGGACUGAGACACGGCCCAAACUCCUACGGGAGGCAGCAGUGGGGAAUCUUCCGCAAUGGACGAAAGUCUGACGGAGCAACGCCGCGUGAGUGAUGAAGGAUUUCGGUCUGUAAAGCUCUGUUGUUUAUGACGAACGUGCAGUGUGUGAACAAUGCAUUGCAAUGACGGUAGUAAACGAGGAAGCCACGGCUAACUACGUGCCAGCAGCCGCGGUAAUACGUAGGUGGCGAGCGUUGUCCGGAAUUAUUGGGCGUAAAGAGCAUGUAGGCGGCUUAAUAAGUCGAGCGUGAAAAUGCGGGGCUCAACCCCGUAUGGCGCUGGAAACUGUUAGGCUUGAGUGCAGGAGAGGAAAGGGGAAUUCCCAGUGUAGCGGUGAAAUGCGUAGAUAUUGGGAGGAACACCAGUGGCGAAGGCGCCUUUCUGGACUGUGUCUGACGCUGAGAUGCGAAAGCCAGGGUAGCGAACGGGAUUAGAUACCCCGGUAGUCCUGGCCGUAAACGAUGGGUACUAGGUGUAGGAGGUAUCGACCCCUUCUGUGCCGGAGUU
rnacentral:rRNA from 1 species